rnacentral:rRNA from 1 species
GACGAACGCUGGCGGCGUGCUUAACACAUGCAAGUCGAACGCUGAAGCUCAGCUUUUGUUGGGUGGAUGAGUGGCGAACGGGUGAGUAACACGUGAGUAACCUGCCCCCUUCUUUGGGAUAACGCCCGGAAACGGGUGCUAAUACUGGAUAUUCACUGGUCUUCGCAUGGGGGUUGGUGGAAAGGGUUUUUCUGGUGGGGGAUGGGCUCGCGGCCUAUCAGCUUGUUGGUGGGGUGAUGGCCCACCAAGGCUUUGACGGGUAGCCGGCCUGAGAGGGUGACCGGUCACAUUGGGACUGAGAUACGGCCCGGACUCCUACGGGAGGCAGCAGUGGGGAAUAUUGCACGAUGGGCGCAAGCCUGAUGCAGCGACGCCGCGUGAGGGAUGGAGGCCGUCGGGUUGUGAACCUCUUUCGCUCAUGGUCAAGCCGCAACAAUGGUUGUGGUGAGGGUAGUGGGUAAAGAAGCGCCGGCUAACUACGUG